UCGCUGGGUAGCUAUGAACGGACAGGAUAAACGACUGAAAGCAUCUAAGUGUCGAAGCCCCCCUCGAGAUGAGAUUUCCCAUUCCUAUAUGGAAGUAAGACCCCUGAGAGAUGAUCAGGUAGAUAGGCUGGAAGUGGAAGUGCAGCGAUGCAUGGAGCGGACCAGUACUAAUCGGUCGAGGACUUAACCAA
rnacentral:rRNA from 1 species